UACGUAGGGUGCGAGCGUUGUCCGGAAUUAUUGGGCGUAAAUGGCUCGUAGGCGGUUUGUCGCGUCGGGAGUGAAAACCUUGGGCUUAACUCAGGGCUUGCUUUCGAUACGGGCAGACUAGAGGUAUGCAGGGGAGAACGGAAUUCCUGGUGUAGCGGUGAAAUGCGCAGAUAUCAGGAAGAACACCCGUGGCGAAAGCGGCUCUCUGGAACGGUACUGACGCUGAGACGCGAAAGCGUGGGGAGCGAACAGG
rnacentral:rRNA from 1 species